AGCUUGAAAUAGCUUUUCUUUUAUAGUUUUACUAUUUUUAGAUUUGUGUCAUUGCAUUGAUCAAGUGCUUGUUUAAUUUCCAAGUUUCAGUCUUCAUUUCCAAGAAUCUGUGAACACUGGAAUGGAUUGUUGGGUCUUGUUGGGAAUCUGGAUUUAACUUCACUUAUCAAGGGUCUCUUUUCUAUCUUGUACAGUUUUGGGUUUGUGAGAAUGAUGAAAGAUUCAGUUCGUGAUAUUCUUUUAUAUGGUUAGGACCUGGUAUAAUCUCGAUUGAGUUUAUAGGAUUUUUGUGGGAUUUUGCUUUUUAUGUUUGCCAGUUAUUUAGUUGCUAAGAAAAUGGAAAAAAAUGAAAGGAGGUGGAAUCUUGGUUUUGUGGGAUUUUGCUUUUAUGCCCUAUCGUGUUUUUAAGUUUCUAAAAAUGGCGAUAUCAGCUGAGCCAAGUACUUACUUUAGGUUUAGUUAAGUGGGUUUGUUGCUUUCUUGAACAUUGAAUAUGUGGAAUAUCUGAAAUUUGAGAUUUUAGAUUUUUUUCUUUCUCAGCGACCGAAGAGCAUUAGGAUUUUGGAAUUUUGGGAUUCAGUUU
rnacentral:misc_RNA from 1 species